rnacentral:rRNA from 1 species
AACGGGUGAGGAACACGUGAGGAAUCUGCCCAUCAUUUGGGAUAACACCGGGAAACCGGUGCUAAUACCGAAUACUCCGUCUUGGCGGCAUCGCUAAGCCGGGAAAGAAUUUCGAUGAUGGAUGAUCUCGCGGCCUAUCAGCUAGUUGGUGAGGUAACGGCUCACCAAGGCAACGACGGGUAGCCGGCCUGAGAGGGCGACCGGCCACACUGGGACUGAGACACGGCCCAGACUCCUACGGGAGGCAGCAGUAGGGAAUAUUGGGCAAUGAGCGCAAGCCUGACCCAGCGACGCCGCGUGCGGGAUGAAGGCCUUCGGGUUGUAAACCGCUUUCAGUAGGGAAGAAGCGAAAGUGACGGUACCUACAAAAGAAGCACCGGCUAACUAUGUGCCAGCAGCCGCGGUAAUACAUAGGGUGCAAGCGUUGUCCGGAAUUAUUGGGCGUAAAGAGCUCGUAGGUCGUUUGUUACGUCGGAUGUGAAAAUCUGAGGCUCAACCUCAGACCUGCAUCCGAUACGGGCAAACUAGAGUUUGGUAGGGGAGACUGGAAUUCCUGGUGUAGCGGUGGAAUGCGCAGAUAUCAGGAGGAACACCAACGGCGAAGGCAGGUCUCUGGGCCAAUACUGACACUGAGGAGCGAAAGCGCGGGGAGCGAACAGGAUUAGAUACCCUGGUAGUCCGCGCCGUAAACGGUGGGUACUAGUUGUGGGAACCUUCCACGGUUUCUGCGACGACGCUAACGCAUUAAGUACCCCGCCUGGGGAGUACGAUCGCAAGAUUAAAACUCAAAGGAAUUGACGGGGCCCCGCACAAGCAGCGGAGCAUGCGGCUCAAUUCGAUGCAACGCGAAGAACCUUACCAAGGCUUGACAUAUAGCGAAAAGUGGCAGAGAUGUCAUGUCCGCAAGGGCGCUAUACAGGUGGUGCAUGGUUGUCGUCAGCUCGUGUCGUGAGAUGUUGGGUUAAGUCCCGCAACGAGCGCAACCCUCGCCUUUAGUUGCCAUCAUUCAGUUGGGCACUCUAGAGGGACUGCCGGUGAUAAGCCGGAGGAAGGUGGGGAUGACGUCAAGUCCUCAUGGCCCUUACAGGCUGGGCUACACACGUGCUACAAUGGCGGUGACAAUGGGAUGCGAAGGGGCGACCCGGAGCAGAUCUCCAAAAGCCGUCUCAGUUCGGAUUGUACUUAAAC